AUGGCCUCGGAGGCCGGCUCAGCGGUGCUUGGUGCUGUUGUGCGGUCUCUUGGGAAGCUGCUCAAGUACGAGUUGGGCCUGGCCAAGACCGUGAAGAAUGGGAUUACCAGCCUCCAGCGUGAGCUCCGUUGCAUGGACGCUUUUCUUGGGGAUGGCUCCGGCAUGCCGCCCCACCAGCUUGAAUCACAGUUGCAGCUCUCGGCCCGCGAGGAGGUCCGGGAGCUGUCGCAUACCAUUGAGACACGCCUCCACUCCUUCCGGGUGCGCAUCGAGUCGACCGAGGGCUCCCGUUUUGAUGUCAUGAGAAAGGUGAGGAAGCUGAAAAUUAAGCAUGACAUAGCCAGUUACAUCAAAGAUACACAAAUCAUGGUUAAGGAGAUGCGUGAUCGGCAUGCUCAGUACCGCUCCAUGAGUUCCCGGGAAAGUACUUCCAGACGGAAAGGGGACACUCGGAGAUUUGCCACGUACACCAGGGAAUCUAACCCUGUUGGCAUAGACGGGCCAAUUGCCGAUCUGACCGAAAAGCUGUCCAAGAUCGAUCAUGUCUCCAUUGUUGGGAUGGGGGGGCUGGGCAAGACCACCCUUGCUCGAGCUCUCUAUGACAAGUUGAAAGGGCGGUUCCAUUGCGGGGCUUUUGUUCACUUCGGUCAGAGCGCUGACGUUGAGAAUGUUCUGAAGGACAUCUUGUAUGAACUUCACAUGGACAAAUAUGGCAAGGAACCAAACAUACACCAGCCAAUCAACCGGCUGCAAGAUUUCAUGCUGGAUAAGAGGUACGCAUGCAUAUACAGUUAUUCUCAUCGAUGUUUGCUAGUCAUCUACAUAUAG
rnacentral:rRNA from 1 species